GCCCGCUUGGCGCAGUGGUAACGCAUUGGUCUUGUAAACCAAAGAUCACCAGUUCGAUUCUGGUAGCUGGCA
rnacentral:tRNA from 1 species